CAUCAGAAGAUUCUUUUCUCCUUCCUAUUUCUUCCAUGUUCUGCCAUCAUAUGCUUUGUGUUAUAGGGCACAGUCUAUAGUCCACGUAUUAACUGUGUAAUGUUCUGCUCCAUGUGACAGGCAUCCUACAUCCUGCUGCAGCGCCGCCGAAAUAUUGUCUGUUCUCUUCUUCAACACCAUGAAAUAUGAUGCGGCUGACCCUGGCAACUAUAACAACGACCGUUUUGUUCUGUCAAAGGGUCACGCUGCGCCCACUUUGUAUGCUGCAUGAGCAGAAGCCGGUCACAUCAAGGAAUCUGAGCUGCUCAACUUAAGGAAGAUAGACUGUGACCUAGAAGGACAUCCUACACCCAUAGCAACACGUAAAGCAUACGGACUGGCUCUCGCUAAACUUGGCCACGCGAGUAACAGAGUUGUCGCCCUAGAUGGUGAUACUAAAAACUCUACUUUCUCUGUGAUCUUUAAGAAUGAGCACCCUGACCGCUUCAUUGAAUGCUUUAUUGCGGAACAGAACAUGGUAAGGCCCCUUGAUCAAUGUCUUAAUG